rnacentral:tmRNA from 1 species
UCACUUCACAUUAAGCGGGCAGGGCCUAUAUAGGUCCUGCCCGUUUUUGCGGGCUAUGGCGAUAAAUUGCGCUGUGUAAUAGAUGCAAGGGACCCGGGGGCAGUACCCGGCGGCUCCACCAUAAAGCCCGGAAAUCGAACGAGAAAUCCGGGCCUCAUGAAGGGGCCGAACUAGGAUCGACCUGUGUUGAAAAGCAGUGUUUUUGCCCGGGCUGAGUAACCCGUAAAACUGUUCAAAACUCAUAAGUGCAAACGAUAACGAAGCACUCGCUCUCGCAGCGUAAUGUGACGGCCUAACGGCCUGAAUUUACAAAGCUAAAGCGCGGUUGGACCCACCGGGCAACAGAAGCGGAUUCCG